GUCAAUUUGGCCGAGCGGUCUAAGGCGUUGCACUUAAGAUGCAAUCUCGAGAGAGGCGUGGGUUCGAACCCCACAGUUGACA